GCCCCUUUUCCCGGGAGACACGGGCAGUUUUUUGAGCAUCAAGUCAGAUAUUUGCCGUGAUUGCACCUCUGUGAGUGUGACCUGGACGUCUGUCGCAAAUCCUGUCUUGAUUGUGUCACAGAUGGUGUCCAGCUGAUUGCAGUCUUGGCAUAGCAGUUAAUCUGGAAGAAGUAAAAUGUGUUCCCGUGAAGCAUAUCCUCUGUUUUGCCAUGAUUUUCUGUAUCUGAUAUGAGUUGCUUCUUUGUAGGAUCUCAGCUUUGG
rnacentral:lncRNA from 1 species